rnacentral:tRNA from 1 species
GAGAUAAUAUUAUAAAAUUAGUAUAUUUCUUUUUCGAAGAAGAGGUUUUUUAUCUUG